rnacentral:rRNA from 1 species
CCUACGGGUGACAGCAGUAGGGAAUCUUCCACAAUGGGCGCAAGCCUGAUGCAGCAACACCGCGUGAGUGAAGAAGGGUUUCGGCUCGUAAAGUACUGUUGUUGGAGAAGAACGUGCGUGAGAGAAACUGUUCACGCAGUGACGGUAUCCAACCAGAAAGUCACGGCUAACUACGUGCCAGCAGCCGCGGUAAUACGGAGGUGGCAAGCGUUAUUCGGAAUUAUUGGGCGUAAAGCGAGCGCAGGCGGUUGAUUAGGUCUGAUGUGAAAGCCUUGGGCUUAACCGAAGAAGUGCAUCGGAAACCGGGCGACUUGAGUGCCGAAGAGGACAGUGGAACUCCAGGUGUAGCGGUGGAAUGCGUAGAUAUAUGGAAGAACACCAGUGGCGAAGGCGGCUGUCUGGUCUGCAACUGACGCUGAGGUGCGAAAGCAUGGGUAGCGAACAGGAUUAGAUACCCGAGUAGUC